rnacentral:rRNA from 1 species
ACUCCUACGGGAGGCAGCAGUGGGGAAUAUUGCACAAUGGGCGCAAGCCUGAUGCAGCAACGCCGCGUGCGGGAUGACGGCCUUCGGGUUGUAAACCGCUUUCAGUAGGGACGAAGCGUGAGUGACGGUACCUACAGAAGAAGGACCGGCUAACUACGUGCCAGCAGCCGCGGUGAUACGUAGGGUCCGAGCGUUGUCCGGAAUUAUUGGGCGUAAAGGGCUUGUAGGCGGUCCGUCGCGUCAGGAGUGAAAACUCGGGGCUUAACCCCGAGCCUGCUUUUGAUACGGGCGGACUAGAGGGAUGCAGGGGAGAACGGAAUUCCUGGUGGAGCGGUGGAAUGCGCAGAUAUCAGGAGGAACACCGGUGGCGAAGGCGGUUCUCUGGGCAUCACCUGACGCUGAGAAGCGAAAGCGUGGGGAGCAAACAGGCUUAGAUACCCUGGUAGUCCACGCCGUAAACGGUGGGCACUAGGUGUGGGGGACAUUCCACGUUCUCCGUGCCGAAGCUAACGCAUUAAGUGCCCCGCCUGGGGAGUACGGCCGCAAGGCUAAAACUCAAAGGAAUUGACGGGGGCCCGCACAAGCGGCGGAGCAUGCGGAUUAAUUCGAUGCAACGCGAAGAACCUUACCUGGGUUUGACAUACACCGGAAAGCUGCAGAGAUGUAGCCCCCGCAAGGUCGGUGUACAGGUGGUGCAUGGCUGUCGUCAGCUCGUGUCGUGAGAUGUUGGGUUAAGUCCCGCAACGAGCGCAACCCUCGUUCUAUGUUGCCAGCACGUAAUGGUGGGGACUCAUAGGAGACUGCCGGGGUCAACUCGGA